GGGGAAUAUUGGGCAAUGGGCGAAAGCCUGACCCAGCAACGCCGCGUGAAGGAAGAAGGCCCUCGGGUUGUAAACUUCUUUUAUGAGGGACGAAGAAGUGACGGUACCUCAUGAAUAAGCCACGGCUAACUACGUGCCAGCAGCCGCGGUAAUACGUAGGUGGCAAGCGUUAUCCGGAUUUACUGGGUGUAAAGGGCGUGUAGGCGGGACCGCAAGUCAGAUGUGAAAUUCCAGGGCUCAACCCUGGACCUGCAUUUGAAACUGUGGUUCUUGAGUGAUGGAGAGGCAGGCGGAAUUCCGUGUGUAGCGGUGAAAUGCGUAGAUAUACGGAGGAACACCAGUGGCGAAGGCGGCCUGCUGGACAUUAACUGACGCUGAGGCGCGAAAGCGUGGGGAGCAAACAGGA
rnacentral:rRNA from 1 species